AUCUUGUGUCCUAAUUUUAACAAAAAUUUUAACAAAACUUUGUUCUGCCCAUGGUGCAGUCAGGGGACAAAGGAAGAGUGAGCACAGUAAGAGCAGAGGGGCCAGAUCAUCCUGGAGCAAAACCUGAGUGGGCUUGGAAGUUUUGUUACUUCUGAGGGGCUCUGAGGCAGCAAGAUCCUCAGUUGCCUGCUCAGUAAUUGUGGAGCUGCUCUGCUUCCUUCAGAUGGAAUGGAUAAUCCUUCCCAACUCCAAGCACCUUGUUCCAGACCUUUCCCCCUGCCAUGAGUGGAGAGGAGACAUGUGGCUCCUGCUUGAGGAAAGCAGAAGAGGCAUUUCCAUCCUGAAGGCAAUGGCUGGAAGGGCUGCCUGGGCUCUGACCUGCUGCAGUGUUUCUCCUCUGCUGAUUGACUCAUUUCCUGGAAAUCUCUGA
rnacentral:lncRNA from 1 species